GGAUAGAUAGAUAGAUAAACAACCUUUGUCGAAACCAUUUUCAUUGUUGUAUAAUAUUUUAUUAUAUGUUUAUAGCAGAAUUAUGUAUUCUUUUCACUGGAAACACAUUGUUAUACUUACCGAAGCAUCGGUUAUAUCACUAGAAGAACUGCCUUCAUUUCUGAGUGCCACAUUCUGCAUGGGAUAAUAACAAACUGAAACUCACUUUGGGAAGGGCAAACCAGGACAGAUAAUAGACUCAAAUCAUUUCUCAUGAAGGUCCAUGGAAGGAACUGGAAUGAUUAAUCAAGAGACGAGAAGCUUCAGGACAUACAUGGAAGAUAUCUUCAAAGACAGAAUGUACAAUCACCUUGAAGAGAAAUUAAUCUUAUUGUAUUUUUCCCCAAGGUGUUGAACUGAGGCAAAUGGAUCCAAACAAUUUCAACGGGUAAAGUGCUGCAGUGACCUCACCUCUCUGUGUGUCCUUUUCCUCGAAGAUCUGGAACCUGAUAAUCUUCGAUCUUAGUAGUGCUCCAAAGUCUUCAAACAAAUGUUUCCUUAAAAUACAUUCAUCAAAAACCAUGGAUGACUCCUACUUUGCUUCUUUUCCCCAGUGUUCAUGGAUUUCUUGCCUAUGGUUCAGCCCAGGACUUAUUUUCAUCCAUCCUCUUCAAAGCAGGGAAUACAUGAAACUUUUCGGAACACCUAGAAGCCAAGAACAUGAAGUAAGUCACUCGUUCACAAAGAAGUGUUGGCAUCUAACAGAAUUAAUCUCAGCAUCACGCCCCAGUCCUACUAAGCCACGUGACUGCUCACAAAGCACAGAACUGGUGAUAGAUGAGGUCCCAACAGCGGCAUCUCAGGCAUCAGCAAGCCAGUGAGUAAAGUAUUUCUGCAGGCUGCUUAUCACCCUCAGAACCACAGUCUCAGAGACCAUCAGAAAAUGGCAAGGCCAUCAAAGGUCUACAGGCACCAUCAUUUUAUGUGCAGUUGGGAGGAUUGGAUCCAAUGAAGGGCAAUCAAAAGCAAGGCAGCUGCAUGUUAGCAGGGAAGUGAGAAACAGAGCAUAGGUCCCUGAAUAUAGGAAUCCAGAACCCUCUUUGUAAUUUCAUUCUUACCCACAUUACAUCUUAUAUGCUUAUAAUUUUGGACUAUGUUAAAAUGUACUCCAAGUUCCUCUUCUUGGGUACAGUCAUGGCCCUCAUAUGACCUCAACUACAUGCAGAAGAAGAGAAUAUCUAUAAGUUUCCAUUACUCUUUGGGGGAAAAAGCCUAACUUUCCUCCACUGAAAGACAUAUAGAGACCAUAUGGUAUUUGCACACAGGUCCUUCUUCACUCAAACACCUUAGACCUGUUCUGAGAACAGAUAUACUUUCAGCAUCCUGGCAUUACAUUGUAUGAUCACCUAAACUCAUUCCAGCACCACAGGAGGGAGUGGGGCAGGAAAUUUUGGGUGUGGAGUGAUGAGCCUGGGAACCAGGGCUUAGAAUUCUAUUCUCGGUUUUAUCUCUAACUCUCAGUGUGGCUUUGGGCAAGACUGUUUCCUUCCUUUCUGAAUGGAUUCAUUUGUGCAAUGGCAAUAAAAUCCUUUACUAACUGGAUACA
ensembl:lncRNA